GACAAAAACCGGAAGCAUCGAAUUGAGGGUCCCAUACAUGUUCUUCGGGGUCACCACCGGGAAAUUGUUUGCUGCUGUGUGAAUUCAGAUCUUGGUAUUGUUGUUUCAUGCUCCCAAUCGUCCGAUAUUUUGAUACAUUCCAUCAGGAGAGGUCGCUUGAUCAGAAGGUUGGCUGGUAUAGAAGCCCAUGCUGUAUGUCUUUCUUCCGAGGGGGUUAUAUUGACUUGGAACGAAUCACAAUGUACUCUUUCAACCUUUACACUCAAUGGAAAUUUAAUUGCUAGAGCACCAUUUCCGUUCUCUUCCAGCAUCAGUUGUAUGGAAAUAUCUGUUGAUGGGGAGAGUGCCUUAAUUGGAAUAAAUUCGUCAAGGCAAAACAAUAAAACCCACAGUAAUAGCAGCUGGGAUUUUAAGUCGAAG
rnacentral:misc_RNA from 1 species